GGUCCCUACGCGUUACCAGCCCACUCGUGGAAUGAGUCAUGAUACCAGCAUGAAAUUUGAAGACCAUACAUCUGAGCAAGAACUAACUACCUAGAUAUAAAUAAAAUUCCAAGAUGAAUUCAGUCACAAGAGAAACUGCUAACAAGCCCAAAUCCUUCAAUCUCUGUUCCUCAUGGAAUAGUGCUAUCUACUCUUGCUUGAGGCAUUAGAAAAUCGAUGACCAGCUUCUCCAAACUCCUGUUGGAACAUGACCGAGAAGAUGUGCAUACAGUUCGAAAGCAGGCUAAUUCGACUUGUUGAAACACUGGAACAAUCAGAUUCUGGAAAAGUGACUUUAAGGGAACUACAGUUUACUGAUCUCCCCCCCCCCCCCCCCCCACACACACACGCCAGGCAG